AUUUCCAGAAUAUGGGUAGGGACCUGGGCAUUUGUCUACUUUUCUUGCCUUGCCCACUCUUAUAUGCUAUUUAAAAUAGGAAACAUCCUCUGCUUGGGAGAAUCCAUAGGGAAAAUGUAGUGUUAUUUGAAGAUUAGGGAGGAGGCAAAACAGGGCGCUUAGGAUCUCCGUGUGGCUCACUGUCCUUCCACUGGGAGUCAACAUGCUGCUCACGUUUGCAACAGAGCACGGCCCAGCCUGUAAAAAGCCAGGAAAUAUACAAUCCCUCAGACUCAUAAAGCAAGAGUGAAAUCUGAAACCUUCUCUCCCAUGUCACCUCAUCCAGGUCAUUGAUUCAUUCUAUGGUUUGCUCAACCCAUUGGUAGUAGGCACUUUCAUUUACAGUGAUGUUCUGAGUGGCUCCCGACUGGGUUAUGAUGAUGGGACUAGGAGGAAUAUGGGGCCCUGCCCUCAGAAGGGCUCACCUUGGUUUCAAUACACACUGAUGUCAUGUGACAGCCAGAGAUGUGAGGAGGGACUCUGCUCCUUGCCUCCUUCCCCACCAUCUCCCCCAGCAACUUGUUAUAGCCGCAUCUCACGAUUACAAUGCAGGACAGUAUCUACAGCACGAUGAGUCUAUGUACACACGGACCAUUCCCUGGGCAUGCUUUAGAGAGAGACACACACGCUCACACACAUGUACACCCACAUGAGAGCGAGAGACGAGCACACGCGCACAGUGGAGAAAAUUAAAAUGGCACUUCCUAGCAUUUGCGGCAUGACUAGUGCUCUGGGGGCGCUGGGGGAGGUAGAGAGGUGGGGGAGCAGAUAAAAAAGGAGUGUCUGGGAUGGGUGUGGGGGGAUAGAACACGCUGAAGGGAGCGGUGAUGAUCUUAAAAGUUGGAGAAACGUGGAGGCAGGAAAGCCAGGUAAUGGCGCAAUGCUGGAUUCCACUGAUAGUCUGAAAUUGCUAUGUCAGCUCAAAUGAAAAACAGAAAAAAAAAAAAAA